GUGAUAGAGAUGUGUCACAUUUUGUAGGUUGUUAUCAAGACUGGAAGCAUUUGAAUCUGUAAAUUUAUUAAAAAUUUAAGCAACCUCAAAUAAUAAGAUCCACAGAAAGCAAUAGAUUUGCUGGCAUAACUGAUUUAAAGCUCAGUUGUUUUCGCAAAUAUUCUGAUUCUAUUCUGAUUCGCAAAUAUUCGACAUUAAUUCAGCGUACAUUCGGGGAAAAAGGUGGGUAGAAACAAACAACUAAAAAUGUAAACAAAACUUUUUAAUCCAUGAAAAUGUUCCUUACCAAACGAUAGUGCAACCACACUUAUUUAGUGAAAACAUGAUUUGCAGAAAAUUUGCAAGCACACAUAGAAUCUUUUUACAAGCUUUGAUAAUAGACCAUACAUUCAAUUCUUUGUAAGUAAGUUCUUCAAUCUGUUAAUUUUUUGCACUUGAUUUUUACUAAAAAUGAGAGUACAGUAUAAUAGCUGAUCCCCAAAUUUGCAAAAACAGAUGUAAAAAUAAGAAAUCAUUCAGAGGUUUAAGA